GAGAGAGAGAAGUUUGAUUUACAUCAUCUAUAAAAAGAACCAAAUUUGGAGGUAUUGGACUUUAUUCUUAUGAUAAGAUGAAAUUAUAUUGAUAAGUAGAACUAUUGGAAGACUGAGGUUAGUCCUCUAGUAGAGAAGAAUGUUGUUGAUUCUAUGAAUAAUUUGGAGAUAACUAUGUAAUUUUCACCCGUGGGUUUUUUUAUUGUAGACAGUGCUUGGAAGAAUCUUGGGCAUCCUAAAUUUAGUAUUAACGGAUUGAUGGUUACUUGGUUGGACUUAGACCUAUGGAUCUCCUGUUCCUAAUUCUGACGUUAUUAAUCUAUCUGUUCGAAAGGGUUUGAGGUUUUUUUUUAGGAUAAAGGUUGAUCAUUAAAUCAUGGGCAAAGUUAAGAGGAAAAAAAAAAAGAUUAUAGAUUAUGAAAAGUACUUGAUGCUAAGGCUCUAACCUAUUUGUUUUAAGCCGAUUAUGAUUUUUGUGUGGAAUUAAUCAUGAACAAUAAAUUUCUUGGGCAAAGAAUUAUGGAAUUUAAAAUCCAAGGCUGGAAAGUUAGUCUUACUUUGAAAGAGAUCAAAGUAACUUGCUAUGAAUCCCAGAUUUGUUGGUCCGUUCGAGAUCUUAGAAAGAGUUGGUAAGGUGGCU
rnacentral:lncRNA from 1 species